rnacentral:rRNA from 1 species
GAUGAACGCUGGCGGCGUGCCUAAUACAUGCAAGUCGAGCGAACAGACGAGGAGCUUGCUCCUCUGACGUUAGCGGCGGACGGGUGAGUAACACGUGGAUAACCUACCUAUAAGACUGGGAUAACUUCGGGAAACCGGAGCUAAUACCGGAUAAUAUAUUGAACCGCAUGGUUCAAUAGUGAAAGACGGUUUUGCUGUCACUUAUAGAUGGAUCCGCGCCGCAUUAGCUAGUUGGUAAGGUAACGGCUUACCAAGGCGACGAUGCGUAGCCGACCUGAGAGGGUGAUCGGCCACACUGGAACUGAGACACGGUCCAGACUCCUACGGGAGGCAGCAGUAGGGAAUCUUCCGCAGUGGGCGAAAGCCUGACGGAGCAACGCCGUGUGAGUGAUGAAGGUCUUCGGAUCGUAAAACUCUGUUAUUAGGGAAGAACAAAUGUGUAAGUAACUAUGCACGUCUUGACGGUACCUAAGCAGAAAGCCACGGCUAACUACGU